AUACGGAGGAUCCAAGCGUUAUCCGGAAUCAUUGGGUUUAAAGGGUUCGUAGGCGGGUUUAUAAGUCAGUGGUGAAAGUUUGCGGCUCAACCGUAAAAUUGCCAUUGAUACUGUAGAUCUUGAAUUAGUGUGAAGUGAUUAGAAUAAGUAGUGUAGCGGUGAAAUGCAUAGAUAUUACUUAGAAUACCAAUUGCGAAGGCAGGUCACUAACACUAUAUUGACGCUGAGGGACGAAAGCGUGGGGAGCGAACAGGAUUAGAAACCCUAGUAGUCC
rnacentral:rRNA from 1 species